rnacentral:rRNA from 1 species
GAAUUUUAUAUAAAAUUAUUUUAAUUUAGUUUUAUUUAAAUAAAUUUAUAUUUAGUUGGGAGGAUUGAUAAAUUUAUUGAACUUUAAUAUAAUUUAAAAACAAUGAUUAAUGAUAGUUUAUAUGAAUGAUUUAAAAAUUAAUAUAGAAUAAAUUACCUUAGGGAUAACAGCGUAAUAUUUUUAGAAAGAUCAUAUUAAUAAAAAUUAUUGC